GAUGAACGCUGGCGGCGUGCCUAAUACAUGCAAGUCGAGCGAACGGACGAGAAGCUUGCUUCUCUGAUGUUAGCGGCGGACGGGUGAGUAACACGUGGAUAACCUACCUAUAAGACUGGGAUAACUUCGGGAAACCGGAGCUAAUACCGGAUAAUAUUUUGAACCGCAUGGUUCAAAAGUGAAAGACGGUCUUGCUGUCACUUAUAGAUGGAUCCGCGCUGCAUUAGCUAGUUGGUAAGGUAACGGCUUACCAAGGCAAUGAUGCAUAGCCGACCUGAGAGGGUGAUCGGCCACACUGGAACUGAGACACGGUCCAGACUCCUACGGGAGGCAGCAGUAGGGAAUCUUCCGCAAUGGGCGAAAGCCUGACGGAGCAACGCCGCGUGAGUGAUGAAGGUCUUCGGAUCGUAAAACUCUGUUAUUAGGGAAGAACAUAUGUGUAAGUAACUGUGCACAUCUUGACGGUACCUAAUCAGAAAGCCACGGCUAACUACGUGCCAGCAGCCGCGGUAAUACGUAGGUGGCAAGCGUUAUCCGGAAUUAUUGGGCGUAAAGCGCGCGUAGGCGGUUUUUUAAGUCUGAUGUGAAAGCCCACGGCUCAACCGUGGAGGGUCAUUGGAAACUGGAAAACUUGAGUGCAGAAGAGGAAAGUGGAAUUCCAUGUGUAGCGGUGAAAUGCGCAGAGAUAUGGAGGAACACCAGUGGCGAAGGCGACUUUCUGGUCUGUAACUGACGCUGAUGUGCGAAAGCGUGGGGAUCAAACAGGAUUAGAUACCCUGGUAGUCCACGCCGUAAACGAUGAGUGCUAAGUGUUAGGGGGUUUCCGCCCCUUAGUGCUGCAGCUAACGCAUUAAGCACUCCGCCUGGGGAGUACGACCGCAAGGUUGAAACUCAAAGGAAUUGACGGGGACCCGCACAAGCGGUGGAGCAUGUGGUUUAAUUCGAAGCAACGCGAAGAACCUUACCAAAUCUUGACAUCCUUUGACAACUCUAGAGAUAGAGCUUUCCCCUUCGGGGGACAAAGUGACAGGUGGUGCAUGGUUGUCGUCAGCUCGUGUCGUGAGAUGUUGGGUUAAGUCCCGCAACGAGCGCAACCCUUAAGCUUAGUUGCCAUCAUUAAGUUGGGCACUCUAAGUUGACUGCCGGUGACAAACCGGAGGAAGGUGGGGAUGACGUCAAAUCAUCAUGCCCCUUAUGAUUUGGGCUACACACGUGCUACAAUGGACAAUACAAAGGGCAGCGAAACCGCGAGGUCAAGCAAAUCCCAUAAAGUUGUUCUCAGUUCGGAUUGUAGUCUGCAACUCGACUACAUGAAGCUGGAAUCGCUAGUAAUCGUAGAUCAGCAUGCUACGGUGAAUACGUUCCCGGGUCU
rnacentral:rRNA from 1 species